GGGGAGAUAGCUCAGUGGUAAAGCACUUGCCUUCCAUGAAUGAGGGUCUGGGUUCAAUCCCCAUCACCACA
rnacentral:tRNA from 1 species